rnacentral:rRNA from 1 species
AUUGAACGCUGGCGGCAGGCCUAACACAUGCAGGUCGAGCGGAUGAGUGGAGCUUGCUCCAUGAUUCAGCGGCGGACGGGUGAGUGAUGCCUAGGAAUCUGCCUGGUAGUGGGGGACAACGUUUCGAAAGGAACGCUAAUACCGCAUACGUCCUACGGGAGAAAGUGGGGGAUCUUCGGACCUCACGCUAUCAGAUGAGCCUAGGUCGGAUUAGCUAGUUGGUGAGGUAAAGGCUCACCAAGGCGACGAUCCGUAACUGGUCUGAGAGGAUGAUCAGUCACACUGGAACUGGGACACGGUCCAGACUCCUACGGGAGGCAGCAGUGGGGAAUAUUGGACAAUGGGCGAAAGCCUGAUCCAGCCAUGCCGCGUGCGUGAAGAAGGUCUUCGGAUUGUAAAGCACUUUAAGUUGGGAGGAAGGGCAGUAAGUUAAUACCUUGCUGUUUUGACGUUACCAACAGAAUAAGCACCGGCUAACUUCGUGCCAGCCGCCGCCGUAACAC